rnacentral:lncRNA from 1 species
GUCUCCUCCAACUCUGCGAUAUCAUGAUGAUGAGAUUCUGAUUCUUAAAAAUGUGUCAGGCUCAGCCUUCUGCCUUCAGCAGACCUGCGCUCCUGGAGGAAGCUCAAUUCCUGAGCUUGCCAAGCCUUUCUGCAUUCCAGGCUUUUGGCACUCGCUGUUUCCUCUUCCUGGAUGGCUCUUCCUUCUUGCUCUUUGCAAAGCUGGCUCGUUCUCUUCCUCCAGUUUCCCAGGACUCGAGAAUACUGCCCCAGGGAACGACUCCUCUGGGUUUGGC